rnacentral:lncRNA from 1 species
CUAAAUUCCAGAUGGGUGUGAGGAGGGCCGUCGUUCACCCUCCUCCACCUUGUCCCCUGCACUGGGAGGCAACCACAACAGGCACGGCCCAUGCUCCUGCACCACCUGGCUUCUGCUUGGGUGUGGAUGAUAACAGGCACCUGCAGGAGAUGGGAGCAUGCGGGGAGAAGUAACUCAGGGUUUUCAUUUCCCUCACUCCCUCUGGACAGCUCUGUGGUUCCGUAAUCAUUGCCGUCCUCUACCUACAGCCACAGGCAUGUGGGUCUGCCCCUAGUGAAAGCUACAGAUUUCCUUGGGUUCUGGAAACUGCUCCCUUCGUUGCUCUUUCAAGCUUCAAGAUGAAAACAGUUUCCUGCCAGGAAUAAUCCCAGGGAGCUUCAGCGCCCUUUGUGGCUUUCUUAGCCCUGCCGGCACCUGUGUAGAAGGUGCCAUCUCAGGCCAGCGCGGUGGCUCAAACGUGUAAUCUCAGCACCUUGAGAGGCUGAGGCCAGAGGAUCACC